rnacentral:lncRNA from 1 species
AAAUAAUAAUAGAAAAAUAAGGAGAAGGAAAAAGAUUAAGAAGAGAAAAAGGAAGAGAAUGAGGAGAAAUAAGAAGUGGCAACUACAGUAAUGGUGACUAUGAUGAAAAAGGAAAAGAAAGAAGAGGAGCUAAAGGUGAUAGAUGCAACAAUGAUGACGAACAUGGUUGCAGUGAAUGCGGCAAUGACAUUAACAACGAAGGAGGAUGAAGGGGAAAAAGAAGGUAAAAAUGAAGGGGGAAAAGAAGAAGAAAAAGAAAGAAAGAAAAAAGGGAGAGGGGAGAGAGGAAGAAGAGAACUAAUUCGCAAUAUUUAUUAAUAGAUUUCGCCAACUAAAAAAAUUGUUGCUUAUUAUCAAUAAAUAUUUAUCAAUGGAUAAUUAUCGAUGUAUUUAGGUGUCUGACAAUUACUAACAAUUCUUGUCAUUGAUAAGUUGUCGUUAAUUUUACUUUGUUGACGAAUUUUGUUAUUACUGACAAACUUUGUCCAUUAAUAAAUCCAUUUUUUCUUUGUAAUGAUGACUUAACUAAAGUGUCACACCACAUAUUUCUUCCUUGACGUUGUGUUCUUUUGCAUAGAAUUACUAUUUAAAGAGAAUAGGAAGUAGUGAUUUUAGGAGGUUUUGUGUUCUUUUGUAGAG